GGUUGGAUCAUUCCUCCCGAGCUUGUGACACAGCAGUAAAUGCUGGCCUAUUGGUUAAUUUACCGAUAGAUCGGAUCGUGUGACUGCUACAGCGCGGCUGUUUCUCUUUGCUUUACUCCAGCCGUGGUGGAGAGACGCUUGAGUUGCAUCCACCAUGCAGUACAGUGCCUGCAGUCUUGGGUUCUUCCAUCAGUGUCUCUCCUCCAGAAGACUCCCACCUCUCCAGUCAGCUGCCACGCUACAGGUUUCUAUCCUGGCAGAGCCGUGAUGUUCUGGAGGAAAGAUGGGGAGGAGAUUCAUGAAGAUGUUUAUCUUGGAGAAAUCCUCCCCAACAAUGAUGAGACCUUCCAGAUGAGUGCUGACCUGAGCGUAUUAUCGGUCUCAC